UGUAAAGAUAACACUACUUAUGCAAAUAUGUAUAUAUAUUUAUAUAUACUAGUUGAGUGCACGUGUAAAUAUACGUAAUAAUUAUUUUAUUUUACUUUAAAUUAAUAUAAAUUUGUACAUUAUGUUGGUGAGUGUGCAGUAUUUGUUCCAACACAUUAUAUUUAUCCAACAAUCAAAUUCAAAUUUAAUUUCAAUUAUUUUUUUUAAAAUGUAAUCAUAUUUCAUCUUAAAUUGAUAGUUAAAAUUUAAUUAUAAGAUUUAAAUUUAAAUAUAUAAAUUUUUAAAUUAAAAUUAAAAUUUGACUUUAAAUCAUGACAUAAAUUUAAUUUUGGAUAUUGAAUUUGAAUGAAUAAUUAAAAAUUUUAAUUAAAGUGGGUCAAUUAAAUUUUAUAUUUAAAAUUAACGGUGAAUUAAUAUUUUGAUAUAUUUAGUUUAAAACACGUACUUAAAUUUAGCAAUGAAAUUUUUUUUAUUAAACAUCGAGAUUCAAUACUAAGAAAAUAUUCUUUUAAACACGAUUAUUUAAUCUUAUCCUUAAAUUAAAUUUUCUUAAAUUAAAUACGAAGAUUAAAUACUGAGAAUAAUCUUUUACUCUUUUUUAAUUCCGUUUGUCAUUGUAAGAUUUUUUAUGCACAGAUUAUAGAUAGAGUCCGGCCACUAUACUAUCAAUAGAACCAAACGUUUUGUGUUAUCGAGUUUUUCGCCGUUAAAUCCGCCUCUUUGAUUAUUUCUAUCUCUUAAAUCAUACUAUUCAACCAAUCACCUCCUCAACCCUAGAAAAUCACUAUCAUCUUAAUUGGAGAUUAUUAUCAUCAUAACUGUACAUCCCUUCUUACGAAUUGAAAAUUUAAUAGUACCAAAUAUUUAAUACUAUCGAUAAUAUAGUAGUAUAAUUCAGUAUAAAUAUAUAACGUACAGCUAUUAUACUCUUAUAAAUAAUAAACUUU
rnacentral:lncRNA from 1 species